rnacentral:SRP_RNA from 14 species
CCAGGGCAGCCUGAGGUCGUGAAGCCGGUCAGGGCCG